AAGCCUUCUGGCGAUCUACACAAAGCAAGCCUUAACUGAGGCUUUCAGGAAACGCUUUUGUUUUUAUGAAAUAAUGUGUUUUGAUAAGAUUAUGCCGGGGAAGGUUUUCCGGUUUAUCCCGGAGGGCUUGUAGCUCAGUUGGUUAGAGCGCGCGCUUGAUAAGCGUGAGGUCGGAGGUUCAAGUCCUCCCAGGCCCACCAAUUACUCCAUCCAUUCGCUUUACCUGUUCCUUUGGUUAUGUAUACAGAUAAUAGUUUUAUAAAAGGAUUAUGGCGCUUAUCUCUUUCGCUUAAGACUCCAAAGUUAAUGUGGUGCAAAUUUAAUACAAAUUUUGUACUGUCUAUAUUUAACAGUUAGAGCAUAUUUAACAGUUUGGAAUCCUUUAUCCUGUUUUAGGGGCCGUAGCUCAGCUGGGAGAGCACCUGCUUUGCAAGCAGGGGGUCGUCGGU
rnacentral:misc_RNA from 1 species